CUCUGUCACUGUCACAGAGCAGAGCUCACCCUGCCCUCCUGCUCCUGCUGAGGAACCUGCAGCCCAUGAGCUCUGCCCUCAGUCUGCUCUGCUCCAGCUGAACAAACCCAGGGGCUUCAGCCGAUCCUCACACGGCUUCACUCCAAAGUCUUCACCAACUUCAUGGCCUCUUGUGGACACUCUCCAGUAGCUUUAUCUCCUUUUCUCCCGUGUCCCCAGCCCUGCACACAGUGAAUGCUGCAGGUGAGGCCGCCCCAGCGCAGAGCAGAGCGGGACAAUCCCCUCCUGCCCGGCUGGCCGUGCUGUGCUGGGUGCACCAGGACACGGGUCCCUCUUGGCUCCAGGGACACUGGUGGCUCGUGUUCAACUUUCUGUCAAACAGAACCCCCAGAUCCCUCUCUGUGGAGCAUCUGGUCCCAGCAUCUGGUCCCCCAGUCUGUAUUUACAGCUAGGGUUGCUGUGUCCCAGGUGCAAAAUCCGGCACUUGCCUUUGUUGAACUUCAUGUGGUUGGUGAGUGCCCAGUUCUCCAGUUUGUGCAGAUCCCUCUGCAGGGCCUCUCUGCCCUCCAGAGCGUUAGGGCUUACUUAACCCUAACCCUUGAGAGUGUAUUAAGUUAUCUUAAGGCUUUUUCUGUGGGCGGAUCAUAUCGCAUGGGAUAGGAUGGACUUGCAGAAUCCUGAGUGCCAUGAGAAGGUGAUGGAGCGAUGUUAGGCACCUGGUGCCAAAAGGGGUGCAGCAGAUGAACCAGGAGCUGGUUCAUGUGGUGGUUCUCAGGGGCAGCAGAGCAGGGCACCUCUUGCUGAAGCAUGCGGUGGAUGCAGAAGGUUUACUGCAUGCAGACACCUUUUGAAGGCUACUAUAUAGACAAAUAUCAAGAGCUGAGCAUUGUCCCGAGCUGAAAUUGGUUGGGAGAAUGCACGGAGGAAAGGAUAUAUCAGCCUGUAGUCUUGGUGCUGGUUUCAGUGGAUUUGGGCACUGCGCAGGGCGAGAUACCAUGUUAGGUGGAGACUUGGUCUGAUUUGGGACAGUUUUUAUGUGUGACUCCCUCCAACAGUUACUGCGGUUUGUCUCAAUGAAGAGAUCGAGUUUUACGGGAGCUCUGUAAGUGCUCGUGGGGAAUAUCUUCCCUCAUAAUUUAUUUACCUUUGCUACUGUCUUCUCCAAUUGCCUCUUUUAAACUUGGCUAUGUAAAUUCCUUUCAGUUUACCAGACUGGAUUCUUGAUUCUGGUGUGUUCACGAUCAGUUUUAGGCUUUUAGCAAGUAGUUUUUUAAAAGAGGCAUUACAGGAAAACCCCUCUACAACUGCUCACCCUUACAGGAUGAACACAGCCGAGCGCAGCGAUGUCACCUCUUGUCCCUGCUCUGUCCCUUGAGAGGUUGUCAGUGAGCUCUGCUGGCCAUGUGCUACAGAGAAAAGGAGUUCGGAAUAACCCCCUGUAUACUGAGAACAGCUCGGAUUGUACUGCGAUCGUCUUUCGCUAUUACCGUGGUAGUUUCCAAAUUAAUAGACUGGAAGACAGAAACAUUCCUCAUUUUCCUGAGGGCGGCCAACUGGGGUGACCACCUGCUUUUGCUGGAACCUGGAGGUGAUGUUGUAUUCACCCAUUUUUCUCUGUCUGCUUGAAAGGAACGUGCUCUGAGAAGCAUUCCUGAUGAUUAUACACUUGUUGCGAAGGGAGCAGAGCAUGCAAAUGCCUUUUCCCAUUGACAUAUUGUUGUUAUGGAUUGAAGAUUUUGGCAGGAGCUGGUUGUGAUGCAGUCUGACUUUUAGCUUUUGUCUACAUUAAUAUUGGGAUAUAGGACUAGGUUGUCACUGAACAUUGAAGGAGGCUUUAAAGCCUAUUCUCUGGAGUUACUUACCUGCUGAGGUGCAUUGCAAAAUUUUAUUUAGAAAAUCCGAGGAUUUAUCAGAAAAGUUAAUAUUUAAAAGUAUGUGGGGACUCGCAGCUGUAGCUAAUUACAGCGCGGCAAGCUUGUUUGCAGACGAAAUAACAGGGUGGUUCAUAAAAGACACAAAAAAUGAAGAUUGGAAAAAUAAUUUCUGCAAUAUCUUUGUCAUUUCACAACUAUGUGAGAUUGCCUGAAGGAACUGGCCUUUUUGGCCCCUUGCUACAGAGAUAUUUUUAAUCGGUUUUAUUAAUUUAAAUUUUCUGAUCCUAGCUACAGUCUCAGCCAUUUUCAAAAUUACUGUCCUACAAGUAAUAGUUAUGUUAUUGGAGGAAAUAAAAGGGUCGUAUGCAACUUUUCCCAUUUAAUGUCACGUGCCUUUAUUAAAAGGGCAGCAAACACUUAAAAAGCCCAUAUAUAACUAUAUGUGGUCAUAUAUUAUUUAUAACUGAUGUAAACUAUAUAUUAUAAGUCAUUCUUUCCAAAUGCAACUUGAGAGAAAGUCCAUUAAAAAGCCUCAGUGUUUGAGGAGUGACAUUUUUUAUCACAUAGGGUUUGUCCUGUGUCUCCCCUGCUGGUCCCAACUGCAGCGGGAGCCAAGGACAUUUGGUGGGUGUUCGGUGGACGUUCAAUGGGUGUUCGAUGGACGUUUGAUGGGCGUUUGGACAUUCGACGGGUGUUCAGUAGAUGGUCGGUGAACGUUCAGUGGGUGUCCAGAAGGUGUUCGGUGGACAUUCAGUGGACGUUCGGUGGACAUUCGAUGGACGUUUGAUGGACGUUCAGACGUUCAAGAGGUGUUCGUUGGAUGUUUGAUGGACGUUCGGUGGACGUUUGUGCUGUGGCUCACGAGAGUCCCCAAGUAGAUUCAAUCCUAAGGACAAACACAUGCUCGUACCUGCCUGACUUGUUUUGCACAAGAGAUGGAUUAAUUCUUAUUGUAUCAGCAUAAACUACUACUUUGCUAUUGCAGGUUUAAUCUCUCCGGGAGCACACUGAUGAUGGAGUGUAUCAGCCUAAAUGUUACCUUUAAAGGGCCUAAUCUUUGUUUGAAAGGACGACUGUGCCGACACAUCUGUGUACAGCGGAGCCCGUGGACGUGCCAGCUGUGUCUGCAGUGGUCUGACGGGAGCAGGUUGCGGAGCGGAGCCGUCCGUGGCCCCGUGGCCCUGCACGCGGGGUGACCGGCACCGUGCUGGCUGGGCCCUGGGGCCGGUCGAGCACGUCACGUUCCCAGAGCUCCGCGGUGUAAACCACAGCGUGGGAAUGGUGGUGAGGAGGAGAGUGAUUACAAAGGAACACUCUCCAUCCACCCAAAACACUAAUAGGGACUAAUACUAUAGCAGCUUUCAUUUUAAAUACUGUGCCCAUAAGUGAGGUAUUUUCAUUCAUGUCCAGCAUACACAAUAAAGCAGCGUGCUCUUACUGUCCUAGAGAGUUUGUUAGAAUACAAAACCUUAACUGAGUGUUGAUAACGUGAAUUGUCUGAUAGAGCAGUAAGCCUCACCGGCUGGCUGUCGAAUGACGCGUAUUGAGGCUGCAGAUGAGGUUUCUCAUUGCAAUAUAACAAAGAAAAUGCAGUAGCGUUACGCUGGAGUUGUCUUGCAGGCAGAAUGUGGGAUCGUGGCAUCUUUCAGUAAAAAGUUCUGACCUGAUACGUUAGCCGCACGUUUCUCUUUUUUUCAUAGAGGACUUGUAAAUGUGCGAGAUGUACCACAAAUGUAUUCCCUGUUUUGAACUAAGAUAGUUCUUUGUGUCAGUUGAGGCGAUGGUAGAUGAAUUUAUUGUGGUGACAGCCCUGCCGUGGGUUGUUCCAAAGGAGGCAAAGGGGCUGAGUCCCUAGAAGAGCUCCAGAUGUUCCUGAUUUUUUUCUUGUUAUUAGCAAUUACUCACUUGGAAGGGUCCAGCAGCUUUUCUUCUCAAUAACAAACUGUGGAAGAGUCAGCAGAAUCAUGACCAACCAGAUCAUGAAACUUGCCAGUGGGAAGAACAUGUACAAACUGAAAAAGAGGAAGCGUGUCCAACAGAUGCUGAUUUGGAUUUACUCAGCUUUCUUGUUUUAUGAAGCAGGAUUUCUUUCUUACCAUGUUACUAUUUAACCAGUGCCAGCUGGAUUCUUCAGAAACUGCAAUAUUCCUUUAAAUGUCAUGUUAUUGCCCAAGAUACGGUGCCAUCCCCAAAGUCAUAUUUUAUAUUUUAAACUGUUUGCCUUUUAAGAUGUAUUUAUUGCCAUGUUUGUUUAAUGUGGUUAUCUCCUUUGUCAAUCUAUUCCUUGCUAACUUAAAGCUGCUGCUCUUUGGUUUUCGUACUGAAAGCUGCUUCCCCGGGGAUGUAUAGUCCAGGACUUGUCUCUGUAAUGGGACUAUUUGUUUUCUUUGCCCCUUGCAGUUGCCUGCUGUAACAUUUGUAGUAUGUGUUAAGUAAUCCUUGAGGUAACAUUUUUAUUAUGUCAUAAAAAGUGCGUGGCAAAUAUAUAAUAACUCACGGAAUUUGUUUGUUUAAAAUGGAAGGAUAAUUUAUUGAGUGUGUUACAUGAGACCUGCUCCCCCUUAUUAGAGCUGUAGAAGUGCAGCUUAUUUAGAAGUACGUUCUAUUGAGAAAAACCACGGUCUCUGACAUGCAUAGAAAGUUUGAGCAUGGUUGGGUAGAAAUGACAUCAUAGUUUAUGUACUCAAUAAAAAUUUAAUUAAGUCAUUACAGAA